GACGAACGCUGGCGGCGUGCUUAACACAUGCAAGUCGAACGGAAAGGCCCUGCUUUUGUGGGGUGCUCGAGUGGCGAACGGGUGAGUAACACGUGAGUAACCUGCCCUUGACUUUGGGAUAACUUCAGGAAACUGGGGCUAAUACCGGAUAGGAUCUCCUGCUGCAUGGUGGGGGUUGGAAAGUUUCGUCGGUUGGGGAUGGACUCGCGGCUUAUCAGCUUGUUGGUGGGGUAGUGGCUUACCAAGGCUUUGACGGGUAGCCGGCCUGAGAGGGUGACCGGCCACAAUGGGACUGAGAUACGGCGCAGACUCAUACGGGAGGCAGCAGGGGGAAAGAUUGCAAAAUGGGGGGAAGCCUGAUGCAGCAACGCCGCGUGCGGGAUGAGGGCCUUCGGGUUGUAAACCGCUUUAGCCUGAGACGAAGCGUGAGUGACGGUAAUGGGUAAAGAAGCACCGGCUAACUACGUG
rnacentral:rRNA from 1 species